GCUCAGCAUGCCACCAAUUCUGACUGGAACAACUGCAACUCGAGAUGUGCUGCAGCACAGAUAGGAGCACAUGGGACAAGCUGUGGUCUCUUAAGACAUCUAAGGAUUUUACCUAUCUGAGCCUGAGCUCUGGGAUUGGGUUGAUCAGCAGGUUAGUGCCACAGGAGCAAAUGGUUUUGCUCAUUUAAGUAGAGGCUGCAAGAUGAGGCCUAAUAUGAAGAUGGGGAGAAGAAUUUGGACCUUCAUCCAGGAGACUUCGGGUCAGAUCUUUGCUAUGGCUUGAUUUACUUCAUUUUGCAUGCACUAGAGAAAGUUUAAACCUCAGGUGUCAAAGUACUAAAGUAUGAAACUCUGAAACAGAAUCUGGUAUGAGGAAAAUGAAUGGAUGUUCUGCUGCCCUUUGCUCACUGGGACUUUCUAGUGGAGAUUAUUGCGAUAAGGAAACCCUCGUGUCGCGACCCACUGGCGUCUGGCUAAUCCGAUGGUAUUCGUCACCGCAUUGUCCGUGAUCAAUAACUAAUUAUCAAAGUGGCAUUUCUUUUCAAGAGCUCCUUGUUAAAAAAUGGCUUUUGGCUGAGAGUGGAGGAAAAAGGUCGCCACUUUGACAUGGUUGCAAGUCUUUCAAAAUCCAGUGGGCCGUCCGAUUGAAUUACUGUCCCAAACUAAUUGAUAUAAAUUUGAACAGAAGAAUGCUUGUUACUACAGAAUGUCAUAAUGAUAUCCUCGGCAAGAGCAUGUCACUGGGAAAAAAGGAGAAAAGACCAGCACUAGUCACAAAGCAUCUAGACAAGUUGCAGCACAGGACUAUUAACAAAAUUAACAGGAACAAAAUUGUACACCAGUUCCUUCUUCCCAGCCAGUCUGAUCAGACAUUCAAGAAAGAAAAGCAUUAGCAUUUCCUUUUGAACCUCAUCCUUUAUUUGAAAAUGGCCUUUAAGAAAACCUACUGGAAAAAAUAAUUGCAAUGUACAAAGGACUGUACAAUGUACAAAGAACUUGAUGACCAGUUACCAGAAGUGUCAUUGGCUCUACGAGGAUCAUGAGUAUUUCCAUCUUCUUGGACUUGUGGCCACUUUGGAUUCAUAAUCCCAAAUGAUUUUUGAAAUCUAAAUACCUCUAUCUUACAAAGACUAAACACAUGAAACCAAUGAAUUCUUUUCCAGCAGAGCAGAUUCUUUUCCCAGAACCCACAAUGAAUCAACAAGUUUCAAGUGAGAUCGAGACUAUUUGGGAUUCUCUCAGAUUCAGUUGUGCACAUAUGGACGGAUGCCAAUGGAACCAAUGGAAUGUCUCUGGAUAUACAUUCAGUGUGGCUGAGGUACUUUGUGGUUCUGAUUAAGUCAUGGAAAUGUUGACAGAGAUGAAAAAUUGUUGUGCUUAUAAGGCAAGCUUGGACUUAAGCCUGGGCUGUGGCCUGAACAGAAGAAACAAUCAAUGUAGAGGCAUAAAGUUCACCAAGACAUGGAAGCCAUGGUGAAAAGAGGUCCUGAACUUCUCUGCAGCCAUAAAGAGGUGUAAUACAACAGGUGGAUGUGCCUGAACUAAAGCAAGUACCUUGGGUAACAGUGCUGG